GAAGUGUGAACAAAUACCUACAGGAAGUAAAGGGGCUACAAGGGAUCCAUGGAAAGAGCAUUCCCAGAACUGGGGCCAGGGCACUGCACGUGAGGAGAGCAGCUGUGUGUGAGGUUGGAACAACACGUUCAAAGCCACCUCGAAAGCCCAUCCUCGUGUGUGUGACUGUGAACCGCAUCAUAAUCUCCUAGAAAGCAAAAACAUCAGGCUUACAUUUUUCACUUGCCUCUCAGGGCUCAGUGCUCUGCAGUAUAUACACAAUGUCAGUGAAGAUGGACAACAUAACAUGGAGAGAGAUGUAGCUUACUAGAGCCCUGUGGCUUCAAUCCCCACCAUGAAUGUCGUUUAAGAGGAAGGUGAUCAAGCCCAAAUUCACAUUUGCUUGAGGAAGAAUAAAAAUGACGUAUCACACGCCAACCCUGAGCAAAGCACUCUACCUAGAGAUCAGCACCAACAGAGGAAUACCUAGAGGCCUCCAGGAGCCAAGAGUGAAGAGUUUGGCAAGGCUUCAAGUACAGGGGGAAGUGGGUGGAGCUUUCACUGUAGAAUCUUCCCUGGAGAAAAAGCAAAGACUGGGGCAAUAAUAAAGGCAUUAAAAAUACCUGUCAAGUUGAAGAAAAAAUCUGAAGUUUAUCAAUACAUGACACCCUCAAAAAAGAAAGAAAGAAAACAAGUAUCUGCAAUUUGCUGAGAGCCUAAUAUGUGUCAGUUGCCUGCAAAAGUCAUCAUUCUUAGACUUUCAAAUACAUCUAUGAGGACGGUAUUGUUGUUUCCACUUAUACAUGAGAAAACUUACAGAAGGCAAGAGACAAGCCCAUGGGCACCCAGCUAGUAUUUUGCCGAAGACUAAGGAUUCGGAUGUGACUAUGGAAAGGAAUCAGGAUUUUAUGAAAAUGCAUGUUUGUUGAAUAACACAAAGAAGAACAUUAUCUAAUGUGGCUUGGGGUCAAUAUCAAGCAGUAAUAUUCUUUUAAUAUUAAUUAGAGCCAUGUCAUUGCAAGAGCUGGUAAGAAUACUGGUGAGUGUAAGAAUACAUUCACACAGAUUAAGGAUUUCAUGAGUAAAUUUCAGAUCUUGAA